rnacentral:lncRNA from 1 species
GAUUAUUUCUUCUUGAGGAGGGGACAUCUGUUUUCCAGGAGCUCUUCUAAUGUGCGGUAAUAUCUGUUCCUUAGUAAUAACUAUCAGUUGCUGCUUGGAUGUAAAAUCUUGAACACAAUGUUAAUUGUGUUAUCACUAUUAUUUGUUGCUUGGAUGUGUAAAACCUUCAGCAAACUGUCAGUUUUUGCUUUGUAUAAUCUGUUUGUUUAAGUCUGCUGCAUAUGGUUCUAAACCUCAUGCUAAUUGAUGAUGUCAGAAGGUGAUCCUUGUAUCUAAGAGUGAUUUUCGGAAUUGCAUGCUAAAAAUCUCAUAAACAUCUUGGCAUCUCGGUGAUGGGGUGACCAAUAGUUACUAUACUGGGACCCUGCCCUUAAACUGCAGAUGCUCCCCGCAGGGUUGAUUUUGUUUUGGAGUUCUCCUGCUAUCCACCAUAAGAGAUGAAAGUUUUGCUGAAAACAUCUAAAGAAAAUCUGAACUACAAAUCUCUAAGUUGAAGAUAGAAGUUAAAAAGUACUACCUUGCUCAAAGUGUGCUAUUGAAGAUCUGUCCCUUCGUUCUUUUAAGCAUAUCCAUUGCAUCUGUGUGUGUGUGUGUNNNNNNNNNNNNNNNNNNNNNNNNNNNNNNNNNNNNNNNNNNNNNNNNNNNNNNNNNNNNNNNNNNNNNNNNNNNNNNNNNNNNNNNNNNNNNNNNNNNNNNNNNNNNNNNNNNNNNNNNNNNNNNNNNNNNNNNNNNNNNNNNNNNNNNNNNNNNNNNNNNNNNNNNNNNNNNNNNNNNNNNNNNNNNNNNNNNNNNNNNNNNNNNNNNNNNNNNNNNNNNNNNNNNNNNNNNNNNNNNNNNNNNNNNNNNNNNNNNNNNNNNNNNNNNNNNNNNNNNNNNNNNNNNNNNNNNNNNNNNNNNNNNNNNNNNNNNNNNNNNNNNNNNNNNNNNNNNNNNNNNNNNNNNNNNNNNNNNNNNNNNNNNNNNNNNNNNNNNNNNNNNNNNNNNNNNNNAGGCUUACCAGUUAUCACAGUUGCAAGUAUUGAGGCCUUGCUGGCUUACCACAAUAGCUGCGACCUGCAAGUGUUGAGGUCUUACUGAGGGUGGUUAUCAACUAACACUUUGGAAGAACCUAAUAUAUGCAUUUGCAUGUUAGAUCCUGUGAACCAUGAGUAUCUUGUAAGUGCCGCGCCCUGUUGCUACCAAUCCACAACCUGUGGUAACCAUUAUGAGCCUGUAUUCUUUGUAGGUAUUACGCACUGUCUCUCUAAUUUUGCUGGCAGCCGCAUGCCCUGGAUUGGUUGCACACUCGUGCUCAUCUAUCGUAUCACACAUGUCAAUCCUUCCACAUGUCAAUGUUAAUUAUAUGCUCUGUUCGUAGAUGAUUCGAUAGACAGUACAAAAAAUUUCAUUGUAGGUUUGGAAUAUUUUGGGAUGUGAACAAGUUGCAAAGCUCAAUUCUCCAUAUGAGAUCAAGAAAUAAUAGAUAUUUAUUUUAUCUCAGUUUCAUUGAAGAAUGAAACAGUCAUAUUGGCUUUUGUGUUUAGGUGUUAUUUUUUAUCUAUAUGGCAUAAGGCUUGUGUGGAUUUACUUAUGGAACUGCAAUUUGUGUUGUCUUAUUCGGCAUAUGCUAACCAAUCAAUGGUAUCUUUCUAAAGACCUAGGUAAAUACUCUUAGCAAAGAGGCUGCUAUUGAUGCCUUCAAAAGGGAUAGUGAUAGAUCUAAGAGAGUGGUGAGGAGAGCCGCGCGGAACACUUAAAUACAUUUCUGGCUUCCUUCAAAAUACAACUAGGCUCUGCUUUAUAGAGGACUUCUAAAGGAUGGCUUGAAAAGGGAUGGAUGCAAGGAUGGUGAAGAUUUGGUAAUAGACGGUCUUCUCCCAGUUUUAUGCAAAUUAACUGGGCAAUUCUCUUGUGCUUAACUAAUAGGUAGAGGCAAAUCUUUUGCCUCCGUUUCGAAAAAAAGAAAGAUUCGAUAAUAGGGGGAUGGGAGAAGGAGCCGGGAGGAACGAUUAGAUACAUCCUUGUUUCCUUCAAAAUACAACUAAGCUCUGCUUUAUAAAGAGGACUUCUAACCGAUAUUAGAGAACUCUCUGUAGUAUAAGAUGCAAACAUUAUUAUGAAAGGAUACCAACAAAACAAACAGUAUACAACUAAAAGAUACUACCUCCUUUCCAGUUAAAAGGCCUACCCGUUUCUCUAGGUUGACAAUUUUUCCAACCUAACACGAGUCAUAGAUCGUCAAUAUAUACCAUUAGAAACUUCAAAUGUUAUAAUUUCCCAUGUUAUAAUUUUUGUGAUAUACAAUUUGCAUCGCAUUGGUUGAAUUGGCAAGCCCAAACUUGGAUGUGAAUAGUGAUGCAUAAACAACCUUCAUCUACAGUAUAUUUCAGUGGGCCUCUUCACAUAGCAUGAUUACAGUUUUGGGUAAUGUUCCUGCUCACCAGUUUUGCAUAAUAGCAAACUGUACCAUAGGCCAGAGUCAUGUUCGCUUCUAGUUUAUGGAUUACCUUCAAGAUUUGUCGUCUUCAUCAUUUUAUAAAAUAGAUUAGUGUGUCACGCAAACAUGAUUUUUUUAAUCGAAUAUUGUUGAACCGGUAUGGGCCCAAGCCCAUCUACUUAUCACUUAGGGCCCAAGCCCAUGUGGAGGUGCUGACCUAGAAAGGGGCAUCCAGCCCUCCCGUUCCCAGAAGAGCCGCCAUACACGAGAGAGACCUCACGCAGGACACAAGGCACCAUGAGCUCUCCUGUCUGAAGGUACUUCACCUCUCGUACAACAUGGUAUCAGAGGCCAGCGACGGCGGGGCCUAAGGAGACGGCGGCGACGUCCGGCGAGGCGGCGGCGGAUCUGGGCGGCGUCCGGCGAGGCGGCGGCGGAUCUGGGAGGCGCGGCGUGGCUGUGCAGGAGGUGCUCUGCGUGGCAGAGGAAGAAGGAGAGGUGGAGCUGCUGUGCUGCGCGGCAGGAGGAGGCAGCUGAGGAGCGGCUUGGUCUCCUCGAGAGUGGGCUGUGCUGCUGUGCGUGUGUGCAGGGGACGGGAGCUGGAGAGCUGCUGCGGGGGUUGGCUGUUGUUGGAGGCCAAGGUUCUCUGGAACUGCUGCUGUUUGCAGAGGAAGGAGAAGAGGUUGUUGUUGCUGCUGGAGCUGCUGCUGGGCAUCUGAGUUGCUGGGUGCUGCUGCUAGCCAGGGGGUGUGAGUUGCUGCCGAUUGCUGAAGGUGAAGGGGGCAACUCUGCUGUUGUUGUCGCUGGGUGCUGCUGCUAGCCUGGGGGGAGAAAAGGGACCGUGCAGGGGACAGUGCAGCUGUAGGGCUGUGUUGCUGAGGGUUGUUGUUGAUUACCGGAUCGGAGAUGAGUAAACCAACUGGUCUUGCUGAGGCUUUCGAGAAGCUUGCUAAGAUCCUCGCUGAGUCCAACUCUGGGGCCAUUGUUCCUCGACAGGAAGUGGCUCAGAAGCUCUAAAUGUCACCCCUGGACAUGAAGCUGGAGGGGGCCACAAAUUAUUUGAGUUGGUCCAGGAGGGCAUUGCUGGCUGUGGAACAGAAGGAACUAGAUGGGCACUUAUUGGGUGCGGUUGAUGAACCAGGAGACAAGACUACCGCGGAGGGAAAGAGGUGGAAGGUCAUAAACUCCGUGCACGUUGGCUGGUUGUUGAACUCAGUGGUGCCCCCCAUUGGAAGCUCUGUGGAGGGACUAUCCACGUCCGCCAAGAUAUGGAAGACUUUAUCCACCUAAUACUCAGGCAAGGGUAAUUUCAUGCUAAUUGCUCAGAUUGAGGGGAAGAUCAGUCGGCUGCACCAAGGUGACGACAUGUCAGUGAUGGCAUAUGUGGCAGAACUGCAGGCUUUGUGGGCGGAGCAGGAUAACUGCGAUCCUCUGGAACUCUAUGAUGCCGCUUGCAUCGAGUCAGGGCGCAAGUGGAUUGCACGCAGGCGUGUGUUGAAACUGUUGGAAGGGCUCAAAGGUUGCUUUCAUGGAAGGGGGGCAUCCCUGUUACACCAACCUCUCCUGCCAACUAUUGAGGAGACUAUUGCAACAAUGUCUCAAGAGGAGGUGAGGCUAUCUCUUGAGCAUGCAGACAUGAAGGCUGUGCCGGCUUCGACAUUUGCUGUCACUGAGCGCAUGGAGUGGGGAGAUCCCAACAAAUGUCAUGUUUGUGGGGAGAUAGGUCACUGGAAGAGGGAAUGUCCAACUCGUGGCAGAGGCAGGGGAUACAACAGAGGGUGGACUGGCAGAGGUAGGCAUGCUAGAGGCAGAGGUGGAUACCUAGGGAACUCGGGGCAACUUUCUAGGGGCAGAGGUGGCUACUCAGGAAACUCAGGGGGGCAGAGGGUACAUAUGGUAGUUGAAGGGGACACCGGGACGUCAAAGGGCAAGGAAGUUGACGAGGCUGCCUAUGGAGACUUUGCUCAUUGGGCCUCCACUGAUGAAGGUAAUCCGACAAAGGCAUCUCUUACUCCUAAUGAGAAUGCUUCAGAGUGGGUCCUAGACUAUGGAGCAUCUAAGCAUGUUGCGGGUAAUUCCUGUGUGUUUGAGUCUUACAAUAAGCACCCUCCUACUCACAAGGGCACUAUACAAACUGCCGAUGGUACAAAUCAGCCUGUCGUAGGGGUUGGCACAGUCAAGUGCACUUCAAACAUCUCGUUAUCGUCAGUUGUGCCAGCUUUUCCUAUCAAUUUGGUCUCUUUCAGUGCUCUCAUUGAUGAAAUAGACUGUCGUGUGAUCCUUGACAAGUUUGAAUGCUUGAUUCAGGUGCGACAAACGAGCCAGAUGGUUGGGACUGGCACCAGGCGUAGGGGGCUUUGGUACAUGGACCAGGAGGUGCAGCCAGACUUGGUGUGUGCUGUGACCACGGAGGACAAGGAGAAGUAGGCGAUGAUCCAUCACUGUAGGAUGGGGCAUGUAUCUUUUGAUAAGAUGAGUAGAAUAUUUCCAGAUCUUAUGUGUGGAAUAGGCAAGGGCAAGUUGACAUGUGAUGCUUGCGAAUAUGCAAAACACACACGAGCCUCAUAUGUGAGUAAGGGGCUUAGGAGCAUAUCUCCUUUUAUGCUUAUUCAUUCGGAUGUAUGGACGAGCCCGGUAGUGUCAAUGAAUGGAAAGAAGUAUUUUGCUACCUUUAUUGACUGCUAUUCUCGUAUGACUUGGAUUUACUUGAUGCGUCACAAUGAUGAGGUGUUUAGCUGUUUUCAGAACUUCCAUGCUCUUGUAAAGAACCAGUUUCAGGUACAGGUCAAGGUGCUCAUGACUGACAAUGGCACAGAGUAUGUGAACAACAAUUUUGGGGCUUUCAUGGCUGACCAAGGGAUUCUUCAUCAAACUUCAUGCCCGGACACCCCACCUCAGAAUGGAGUGGCCGAAAGGAAAAAUCGUCAUAUUCUUGAGGUUGCUCGGUCGUUGAUGUUUACCAUGAAUGUGCCUAAAUUCUUAUGGGAUGAAGCAGUUAUGACAGCCACAUACCUGAUCAACCGGACACCUUCUAGGAUACUAGGUAUGAAAUCUCCAUCUGAGUUGCUCGUUGGAGAUAAUAAGUUUGUUGUUUCCCCCAAGCUGUUUGGCAGUACCUGCUUUGUUCGUGAUCAUCGACCAUCUGUUGGAAAGCUUGAUCCUCGAGCUGUGAAGUGUGUCUUUCUGGGAUACUCUUCUAGCCAGCAGGGGUAUAAAUGUUGGUGUCCCUCUGAAAAACGCAGGUUUGUAAGUAUGGAUGUUACCUUUAGGGAGUCUGAGCCAUUCUAUGGUGAGCUAACUGAUCUCAGUCUGUUGUUUGCAGAGCUUGACCACCUGCACCCUGUGCACGAUGGUAAGAGGGGGAGAAGGAUGCGUCUCGUACUCAUGAUGAUUCUGUGGGCAUUAACACUGAUAAUGAUGUGCAAGUUCAGGUCCAACCAAUUGUGGGUAGAAUUCCAGUUAGUACUCUCACCGAUGAUGAUGUGCAGGUUCAUGUCUAGCCAACUGUGGAUACACUUAAGUUUGGUGCUCUCCAGGUUCCUGUUCGGGAUCGAUGGCAGACGAAUACCCUGGUGUACUCUCGACGGCAACCACACGUGCAGGGGGAGCGGCAAGGCAGUGAGGCAAGAGUGCAGGGUGAGCAGCAAGGCAGUGAGGCAAGCUCAUCUAACACAGUGGAGCUGCCCAUUGUGUUGCGAAAGGCUACACGUGAAGCGGCAAGGAAGGGUGAAGUAGCAAGGAAGGCUCUACCAAAGGAUGAUGCUUGUGAUGACCUUGAUAUUGGAAAUUUUGUGUCUUAUAAGGCUUUGUCACCUUCAUAUAAGGCGUUUGUUGCCUCCCUUCAAACUGUGUCAAUCCCAAAGGAUUGGAAGGUUGCAAAGCAAGAUCCGAAGUGGCGUGAAGCGAUGAUAGAAGAGUUGGAAGCACUGAGAAAAAACAAGACGUGGGUGCUAACCACGUUGCCAGCAGAAAAGAAAGCAGUGAGUUGUAAGUGGAUCUAUACAGUGAAGCAGAAUCCUGAGGGGAAGGUGGAACGGUACAAGGCUAGAUUGGUCGCCAGAGGAUAUAGUCAAACUUAUGGAAUUGACUAUGAUGAAACAUUUGCUCCCGUGGCAAAGAUGAACACAGUAAGGAUAUUGGUCUCAUGUGCUGCAAACUUUGGGUGGAAGUUGCAUCAAUUAGAUGUCAAGAAUGCCUUCUUGCAUGGUGAGUUGCAGGAAGAAGUGUACAUGGAGAUACCACCAGGUUUUGGUACUUCAGAGACCACGGGGAAGGUAUGCAGGCUGAAGAAAUCCUUGUAUGGACUGAAGCAAUCACCAAGGGCAUGGUUUGAUAGGUUCAGACGUGCCAUCCGUGGUAUGGGGUAUGGUCAGUGUAACGGUGACCACACGAUGUUCUACAGGCACUCCGAUCGGAAGAUCACCAUCCUUGCUGUUUAUGUGGAUGACAUUAUCAUCACUGGAGAUGAUAAGGAGGAAUACAGAGAUUGAAGGGCUGUCUAAGCAAGGAGUUUGAGGUAAAGGAUUUGGGCAACUUGAAAUACUCCCUUGUCAUUGAAGUUGCUCGGACAGAGAAGGGAAUCUCUAUGUGCCAACGAAAAUACACCUUGGAUCUCUUGAGUGACAUGGGCAUGAUGGGGUGUCGUGCUGCCCCUACUCCGAUUGAACAAAAUCAUCAAGUGAUAGCACAAUCAGGAGAGCUAGUGAAUAAGGAAGAUUAUCAGAAAUUGGUUGGGAGGUUAUUGUACUUGUGUCAUACCAGGCCUGACAUUACAUAUGCCGUCGGGGUGGUGAGCAGAUACAUGCAUGAACCAAGGAGUGGGCAUCUUGAUAUUGUGCAGAGAAUCCUGAGAUACUUGAAGGGGACUCCGGGUAAAGGGUUGUGGUUUGGGAAGAGUGGACAUCUUGAGGUGGAUGGCUAUAGUGACUCUGACUGGGCCAGUUGUCAAGAUGAUAGAAGAUCCACUUCUGGCUACUGCGUGUUUGUGGGAGGAAAUUUGGUGUCUUGGAGAAGCAAGAAACAGCCGGUUGUGUCUAGAUCAACAGCAGAAGCUGAGUAUAGAGCAUUAUCUCAAAGGUUGUGUGAGAUGCUCUGGGUGAAGUACCUACUGAGUGAGUUGAAACUUCUGAGGAAGGGACCCUUGAAGGUGUGGUGUGACAAUCAGUCAGCUAUAGCCAUUGCUAAUAACCCAGUUCAACAUGAUAGGACAAAGCAUGUGGAAAUUGAUCGCUUCUUCAUUAAGGAGAAACUUGAUGCUGGGAUCAUCAGCCUUACUCAUGUCAGCUCUGGGCAGCAGUUUGCAGAUUGCUUGACAAAGGGACUGGGAACAAAGGACUGUAACUUGGCGUGUGACAAGAUGGGAAUGAUAGAUAUCUACCACCCAUCUUGAGGGGGAGUGUUGAACCGGUAUGGGCCCAAGCCCAUCUACUUAUCACUUAGGGCCCAAGCCCAUGUGGAGGUGGACCUAGAAAGGGGCAUCCAGCUCUCCCGUUCCCAGAAGAGCCGCCAUACACGAGAGAGACCUCACGCAGGACACAAGACACCAUGAGCUCUCCUGUCUGAAGGUACUUCCCCUCGUACAACAAAUAUGUUUCAGAUCAGAUCAAGGAUAUUGUGAUUCACUAUAACAUCACAUCUCUGCUAUACUAGCAUGGCGCUACAAUUGGAAUUUUGUGCCAAUUAUAGACUGUACUCGUCCCGAAUAGCGAAUCAAACACAACAAGAAUUGUAUAUAUUUCAGAUAGUAGUUGCUGUGUCUAGCUGUGUUGCACUGAAAUUACAAACAUUAAAAACUGUAGAGACUACCGAUAUUUGAUAAUCACAAUCCGUGCACACGGUAUUCAAGAGCAUGCGUUUGACACCCUUACUCAGUAGUUGAGUUAUCUUUCUCCUUACACUCUCCCUCGUUGUUGCCUUCUACAACUUUUUUUGACUCGUUGCAUCAUGUAGACGACCUGUCAACUUUUUCUUCUGAGCAAUUGCAAUCAAUGUCUUGUUUAUAGGUUGAUGACUUUUCUCCUAUAGUGCCUACUGCUGAAGAUCACAAUGGAAAUACAGAGCACCUGACAAACAAGUUUCCAGACGACAGGCUUGGCGACCGAUAUUUACAGGUGCUCUGCUUUUAUGUAUGAUGUGACAUAUGAUGCCCUGUUUCCAGUUUGUGCAUAGCACUGUUUCAAUCAGUCUCAAUUCCAACACAAUUUACAUGCCAACCUAUUCUAUGUGAGGAGUCUUGAUCAUCUUCGGAGUGGUAGCUUUGUUCUUUGUGGUAUCAUCACUUUGUGCAUGCGAUGAUCUGAUGGCGGCUGUGGUUAGAGGUGUUGCGCAGUAUGCAAAUAUCACUUUGGUCUACCAGUCAAGAUGUGAGAUGACAUGGUUCACUGAUACUCAGGUUGAGAAACAAUUUUCUUUCCAGCAUGGUAGUUGGGAAAACAAACUGGACUCUGUAAAUCAGGGACAUGAUACACAUUUGCUUUGGUCCUAAGCUUCAGUGUGUAAAAAAUUACCAGUGUUGCAAAAUUGUAAACUCUUGUAUCGAUGUAUAACCGGAUGGUUAGCUGAAUGGAUAUCAAUUGAAGUCACUUGGGCUCAAUUGUGUUGAAACUGCUGGAACUCAGAGAGCCUGGGAUAUCCAGAGAAUGCAAGCAAAGCACGGCCCAUGCACAGUACCUGUAUGGGCCGUGCAUGGGCGGACAUUUCGGCGCCCUAACCUGCCUCUUGCUGAAAGCAUUUCGGAGACAUGUACUUUUACUCCAUUUUUUCUGUUUUGCUGCAUUUCUUCAUUUAUUAAGUGAUCUGGUCCUUCCACGGAAGGAAUCAUUUUGUAAAAUAGUCAUCUCUCCACCGAGAGCGAUGUAUGUCAACUCCAAUUAUAUGUACCUGCACGGCAUAAUUCUUAUGGUUGGACUUGGAUGCUUCCAAGCUAAUCAUUUGGGAAUUUCUCGCUCAACGCACUUCAUAAUCAUUUUGAUGAUCAGUUAGCAGUUGCCAGAUUAAUCUCCCCCCUUUCUUCUUCUCAGGGCAUCUCCAAUGGGAGACGCUUAAAUAGGCGCUUAUGGUAAGGAUUUUAGGCUAAGCGUCUGUGCUAGAGUCUGCACCUCCAACGCAAGUCGCAAAUAACAGGCGCUCCACGAGUUAAAAAUGAACAGAAACGUCAAGCGAAAAGGCUGGAGCGCUCGACGCCUAAUUUUGCUGCGGCGCUAACAAAUGAACGGGAUUUGGCUGGGAAUAAGACGUAACGGAUGGGAUUUUGACCCUGGCAUCCCGUCUUAGCGCUCCCGUUAUAGAUGCCCUCAGAGGACCAAUAUUGUUGUUGGCGAGAGACAAGAAUGUCCGCCGAGCGCUUCAGCUUGUAAGACUAGACUUUUUGUUGUCGUUGAGACAAGUCCAAACCUGCAAUUGCAUUAUCACUAGGAAAUAGGAAUCCAUACUUUCUAUCAUUAAACAGUGUAUGCAUUGAGAUCACUUGGUGGCCAUAGAAACUCAUAGCGCAUGAUGAUCUUCCAAGCACUUCUAUUUGUUGCGAAUGUACGUGCUUAGCAUCAGUAAUCCUUAUUAGCGGGUACCGAGUAAAAUGGCUCAAUUAAUCAGGAUUCAGAAAUUUCCAGGCAACUCGCAUCAUGCAGAAGCAUUCCCUAAACAAAAGGAAACGGAAUGUAAGAGCAACCACAACUCCACAAGAUUGGUUAGAAAAUGCAGGCCUGAUGUUCCUCCCCAUCACCCAUUCUAAGUCCAACGAUUCAAAACAAUUGAUUAACAGUCAUCCAACCGAUCGACACCCACACGCAGCACGUCCCCAUGUUGCGCUAAGCAUGGACACGGCCUCAUUUCUUUACGGCCACUUGCCACAGUCCCAUGAGAAAUGAUUAGUUCAAAAAUGUCAAUUAGGGGGGGUGGGGAAUCUCCUCUCAGAUCACGAUGUGCCCUCAUGCGUGCCUAAUAACAGUGGCAUCGCUUUGCAGGCAGGCAGCACAUCCCAGAGACGGAAUUAAGAAGGCAUACCACAGUGCAUUAUUAUUAGAUCGUGGUGCUCCUCGUGCCUAACGGUAGAGAAUUUUGUGAACUGGCUUGGCUUCCAUUUUCUUUUCUUUUCCCUCAACUACUGGCAGCGGCAUGGCCGGCCCAAUGGCUUAAAUUCCUGCUAUCCCUCUGAGACUAUAUUUUAAUCUUUGGAAUAUCUACAGCUUGAAUAAUACAGUGUGAAAUAAUUCAAGUGGCAGAGCAUGCCAAUCUAUGCCAGGCUAGAGAACACAAGAAAGCCAAGUGAUCGAUUUAACACAGGGAUAGCUAGGAUGAUUAUGUGUUGAGAUAAGUACUUUCUUGACAUGUUUUACUGCGAGAAGAAGAAGCUGAUGGAUGGAGCAUCGUGUGUGCCAGGCGAAAAGCCAAGGGAGGGAAUAUGCUGCUCGCCGGCAAAGGCAUUUUGGGGUUGAGAGCAAAAGGAAAGGGUGGAGGAAAGGGGAGAAAGGUAGCUAGCUGGCUCCCGGAGAAUGUUCAUUUUGUGCGGUACGUUCCCGUCGUGGAACGGAGUGCAGCACGUCACGCGCGCUCAAUCCGCUCCUCCUUGUAGCUUCCACCGGAAUAAAGCUGCGUGCAUCUCCUUUUUCCCUUGGCAUCCUCGACGAUCUUCCUUCUUCCACCUCCGUGGAACAAAACAGUAAUGCCAUGUACGUGAUGGGGGAUCUGGCCCGGUCGCCAGCAUGGUCACGUUGCCAUGGCUAGCGCAUUAAUGAUCCAUCACGCACCUGCAGCCUCGUCCAAGCUAAGAUGCUCGCCACGAGAUGGGUGGCAAGGAAGCAUCCAUCGAUCCAUCACCUCUAUCGUACUUGUUCCAAUAUUUUGUCGGAGAAAUAAUCGUAGUCCCUUCGAUCCAUAUUACUCGUCGCGGUUUUACCACAACUUUGCAUCAAUCAGUUGAUGCGAAGAAAACAGGUGAUAAUUCUCUGGCACGUCGACGCUCGUAGAAAAAAUGUGUAUGGAUUCAGGCGACAGUCGACGAGGGGCCAUAUGAUUAGCACGCCGUGGGGAUGCAUGCAUGACCUUUGGCUUGAGAAAUACUCCUACAAAAAUGCAUGUGACGCGUCGCCGGCCAUGUCUCGUGCCGCAUCGAUCCCACUGUCCCAAGCCGGCCGGCGGUUGAAUCUACCCUACCCCCUCUCGAUCAUUGCGUUGCGAUGCUCGACAUGGGGAAUUCCGUUCAUAUGCUCCGUGUGAAAUGAGGUAGUACCAGUCUACGUGCAUGCACCAAAAUUUCUACUAUAGCAUAAUAUGUUUCCAAGGGGCCGGGUACGCACAGGACUAGUUUUGUAAGCACUCCGAUGAGCAUAGUUUGCGAAUACUUGUGGUCGAUUCAGCGCAAAGGACCGGCUGAAACCGACAGCAAUAUACUACUCGAUCAGAUGCUCUUAUCCUCGCCUCGUUUUACAUCUCGUGCGCGCGCCAGCAUCGGGGACUGACCGGUUCUCUGAACGUGUUCAUCACUCUGCCAUCGAUCUUCUGACAUUUACUACUAACUGUCAAUUCAUAGUUUAAGAUCCGCGGACGAUUCACCGAACCCAUUUGAACGGCGAAAACUACUGGUGGUAGUAGUAACAGUACAUCACAUCACUAGAUGCGUCCACGCAUCCAAUGGCUAAUUUGACUGUGAUUUGCGAGCGUACCACUCCUGCGAGUUUCCAACUCUUGUGUUAAGGGCAUGUACAAUGCAUAGCCCUAGGGUGAUGCCUCGCAUGUCAUGUAGGAUCGGAUAUCAGGUAAAUUAGGUUCGGAUAGGGAAGUGGGAUCCUCUGCAGGAGGCGGGUGCUUGGAGAGAAAAAGUGUGGUCCGGUGACAAAAGCUGAAAAGGUUGGAGUGAAAAGUAGAGAUGCAUGUGUAUUAGAGUCUUUAUUUUCUACUCCCUCCGUUUCUAAAUAUUUGUCUUUCUAGAGGUUUCAACAAGUGACUACAUACGGAGCAAAAUGAGUGAAUCUACACUCUAAAAUAUGUCUAUAUACAUCCGUAUGUGGUAACCAUUUCAAAUCUCUAGAAAGACAAAUAUUUAGAAACGGAGGGAGUAUUUCUUAAUGAGGCCCACUAGUUGUAACUUACAUUGGGGAGAAGAAAUAAAUGUAGGUGCCUCAAACUACUUUUUGUCAUGGGACGUAUGUAUCCAUAUGCCACCAUUGUACAUGCCCUAAGAAGCUUGGGACUCUUUUAUCUCGUGCUGAACGGACGUAAGCCUCAAACCCCGAUGAGGCGCCGAUGGACAGAUGUAACCGAUGAGCUAGAUCAUCGCACGUGCGUACGUCUCCGACGGUGUUAGGGGGAGCUGAGCUCCGACCCCUCAGGCCAACUCCACCGCGCGACCCCAUCCUGUCCGCCCCUGUCCGUUUGGGGUAAAAUGGACAAACCAGACGGCCCAGCGCGCGGGCGCAAACGGACUUUUGUCCGUUUUGUGUCCGCUUUUGACCCAUCCCCGGCCCAAGUUUGCGCCGGUUUUGGGGUGAAACAGACAGCGCGCGGACGGGCAGGACGCGCGCGCUUGUCCUCCCCUGGCCCGCCUGUCGGUGAGGGAAACCANNNNNNNNNNNNNNNNNNNNNNNNNNNNNNNNNNNNNNNNNNNNNNNNNNNNNNNNNNNNNNNNNNNNNNNNNNNNNNNNNNNNNNNNNNNNNNNNNNNNNNNNNNNNNNNNNNNNNNNNNNNNNNNNNNNNNNNNNNNNNNNNNNNNNNNNNNNNNNNNNNNNNNNNNNNNNNNNNNNNNNNNNNNNNNNNNNNNNNNNNNNNNNNNNNNNNNNNNNNNNNNNNNNNNNNNNNNNNNNNNNNNNNNNNNNNNNNNNNNNNNNNNNNNNNNNNNNNNNNNNNNNNNNNNNNNNNNNNNNNNNNNNNNNNNNNNNNNNNNNNNNNNNNNNNNNNNNNNNNNNNNNNNNNNNNNNCUGCCGCCUCCUCUCUCCCCCGUCCAUGGCCGACGCCCCGCCGAAUUCCGGCGGCCUGGCCGUCGACCCACCAAGAAAGGUGAAGAAGAAGGCGGCCAAGGCGCCAAGGAAGCCGCGGUCGGAGUGCACGCCGGAGGAGAUCGCCAAGUUGGACGCGGAAUCGGUGAAGAGGAGGAAACGGAGAGCGGUCGUCAAGGUCAAUGCCGCCGCGGCCAAGUUCGCCGCCCAGCGCGAUGCGAUGGAGGCCGCGCGGCGCAAGGGCGCGGUCGACGAGAAGGAGGACCUCGUUAACAAAGUGCACACCCUCCUCAUGCUUGGCAUGGGCCGUCCGGCCGGUUUCCCUGCAGCGGCCGUCGGCCCGGCGAGCACAGGCUCGCGGUCGCCCGGCCUCCGCACUGCAAGUCGCCGACAUCGCGGACCACGCCCAUGUCGCCCGGCUUUCCUCCGCCAAGGCACGACGGCCAGACCCGUUUCUCGGGGUCGCCGAACGUCGGCUUGUUCGCGCCGUCGACACCGCGCCCCGCGGCCGUCAUCGACCUCAGUGUCACGCCUGGGUCCAGCAGUGGCGGCCGGCUGUCCGUCGAGAUGCAAAGAAAGCAAGCACGGGCACCGUUCAUGGGCACCAUGCCGGGCCCCCGCGUCUUGUUUGACGGAAUGCCAACACCAACUCCACGGUCGACGACCCCUUCUACAACCAGUACAUGGAGGACAUGAUCUUCGAGGGUGGGCAGGGCCGUGCCUACGACCCCGACGAGACCCAAAGUCAGGAUGGCCGCGCCCAGUACGUCCCCGAUGAAGAGGCCGACGACCGUGCUGACUACGACCAUGGUGACUCGUGGCAUGAAGACAAUGACAUCUAUGUCGAAGGUGAUGGUGAUGAAGAAGAAGGCAAUGACGUUGAUAUUAGUGGCGAACCAUUGUUCAUCGACGAGCUCACCCAAAGAGCGGAAGCACAAAAGAAGAGGAAGAGCAUUCGCACGGGUUCAUAUACACAAGAUGAGGACAAGUUGAUUUGCCAAUCUUGGAUGGAGAUUAGCCAAGAUCCGAGGACCGGCGCGCAACAAAAGGGCCUUGUUUUUUUGGACGAGAGUCCACAAAAAUUUCCAUGAAAGGAAGAUGUUUGAGCCCUACCAAAUUACAAGCAACCGUGGCAUCGGCUCGAUUCAAAAGAGGUGGUUGUUCAUCCAACAAGAGUGCAACAAGUAUUGCGCCGCAUUUGAGAGCGUUGAAGCACGACCUGUGAGUGGUCUCGGCGUUGGGGACAUGGUAUGCUGUCUUCUUCCUAGUCCUUUCCUGGCUACGGCCAUGAGACUUCGGCCUUGUAUAUGUUUGCAUGUUCACUUGUUGUUGAUCAUGUGGUGUAGGCAUUUCAAUCUUUGGAGGCAUUCAAGGCCCGACACAAUGACAAGCCAUUCACUCUUACGCAUUGUUGGACGAUCAUCAACAAUUGCCCUAAGUUCAAGGACCAAUACCGUGAACUUCAAAGGAAGAGAGGAUUGAAGACGACCAAGUUCGCCGGAGGUGGAGAUGGCGAGGCGUUGAAGAGGCAGAGGGGCAAGACCAACUCCAAGGUUGACGACAUACGUGAUGCCUCAUCCAUGGCAUUGCAUGACACUUUGCAUGGCAUGAUGUCUCAAAAGGAUGUGAAGGACGAGAAGAAGCGGCAAAGCAAGGACGAGCAGAUGAAGCAAUACCUAGACCUUCAAAGGAAGAAGCUUGAGAUGGAGGAGGCGGCCAAGAGGAGGAAGAUCGACAUGGAGGAGGCGGUCCGGCAAAGGCAGCUCGACAUCGAGGCCGACAACGUCAAGGCCAGGCAGAGGCAGCUCGACAUCGAGGCCACCAAUGCCGCCACCAAAGUGAAGGAGGUGGCACUUGCGAUCAUGAGCGUGGACUUGUCGAAGAUGAGCGAGAAGACGAGGGCCUGGUUCGAGGCCAGGCAGAAGGAGAUGCUCGACGCCGAAGGCCUGAACUAGGUCGUCUGAUCGGCCGUGGCCGUUCUUUUUGGAGGGUGGCAUGGGUGCCGGCGAGAAAAAACAUUCAUUUUGGAGGCCGGCGCCACCGCAUUUCAGGACACGUUCGGACACGACCCAUUGCCCUACCUAAACGGACGGAAACCGGACAAAACGGACGUCCGUUUGAGGUCGCGCGGUGGAGUUGGCCUCGCUCACUCACAUGCAGGCAUGGCAUGGAUUUCAGGCGCCGCGCGUGCUCACUGAAACUGAAAGCAAGCCAAAGACAAAGGGACGUAGUAGCAGCAUCGAGGACGGGCGAUAGAUACAGUGCACUGCAUGGGAGUGCGGGAAAGUGAUCACCCCGGCCCGGCCCGCAAAAGGCACAUUCCCUGAUCGAUCGACCCGGCCUCUCGCCUUUAACCUGCCGCUGUGUCAUCGUCGAUCUGCACUUUGGCACCUCUCCCGGCCAGGACCGGCCGGAGGCCAUCGCUUUGCAGGUUUAUUCGCAUGGCAGUGGCAUGCAUCCCUCUGUCGUCUCCUCGUAAAGCAGCCACCGCGACGCGUACGUCCUCGUCUGGCCCGGGCCAGGGACCGGCAUGGCCAUGCCAAAGACAGCCAGACACCAGUCACCACUCACCAGUGUGUGUGUUGCGUUGGUGGUGCACACACGAGGUACGUACGUACAUAUGCAUGCGCCUGAUGCCCGGCGGCGUGGCGCGCUGGUGACCCCGCGAACUCCGCGACCUCAGCGCCGGCUAACGUAGACGCAUGCUCGUGAUGUGCUCUGUUGCGCUGCGCCCGGGUCUCGCUUUCGGCUUAGCCAGCUAGUUUCGCCGUCGUUCCCCGGCAACCCUCGCUUUCGCCUCGAGGAAGAGCAAAACGAUGGGAACAUCCAUGCGCGCGUACGUACAUAUUGUUUAGUUAUUACUAGUAGUAAUCAUAGAUGUGUACAACCAGUACGUACGUCCCCCACACUCCGCUGGGUUCAUGCAUGAACCAUCUCCUUGAUCGAUCCAAUCAUUGGCCCUGUUUGGAUACUCUAACUCAGUUAGAGGUUAGAGUUAGAUUCUAAUCCUGAACCAACCUUAAACUAACUCUAACCAAAGAGCUGUUUGGAUGGUAAGGUUAGAUUGAUAAUAAAUAUUCUUUCUCAAUCGUUUGACUACUUUAGACCAUGUUUGGAUGGGAGGGGUAACUUUUUUUACUAAUUUUUUUAGUGGGCCCAAAAGAACUAACCCAAAUAAGCUCCUCUAGUGUGGGCUAGUUUUUUGGGGUGGGUUAGAUCCAACUAACCCAAACUAACCCAUCAUGGUUGGAUACUUUUGGGUUAUUUGAGCUCCAACUAACCAAAACUAACUCUAACUUAGGGAUCCAAACAGGGCCAUUGGGUAAGAUGCACAUAUGCUAUAAUGUAACAGAAAGAAAAUGCCAACGACCUGAAGAGGAAGUGCGUCUUCUCUAAUCUUUAAAUUUAAAGGAACAUCCAGAUCUGUAUAGUUAGUUUGGGCCGUUUCAUACCGGUCGGUCGGCGAGGAGUAGAUUGGUAGUAGGAACUAAUUGGUCUACGAACUACUAGUAUUUCAACAAGGAAAAUGCAUAGGUUAAAUUUAAUAAAAUGGUUGUGUGCAUCCUUGCAAACCCCCUCUCACACACAAAAAAAAAAUGGUUGUGUGCAUUGUAUAAUACAUAGGCCGAGGUUAUUCUUUUUUUGAAAGAAAAAAUGCAUAGGAGCUCUUGGGUGCCCGUGAAACCUAUAUGAAUAUUUAAAAAAUACCAGAAAAAAUAAAAAAAUCUAAAAUAUUGGGUAUCAAAUCUGAUCGAUCAUUCUACUGACGUGUGGAGUUUCAUGAAGAAUCUUCGUGUAAAAUCAUUUGUCGAAUAAGUUAGCUGAGACACUGUUAAUGCUCUGGAAAAAAAAUACUAGACAGACCAAAGUAGUGAUCAACCCGUACAGUGCAUGUGGGCAAGAAAGGCAUGGCAUGGGCGCAUCCGCGGAGGGAGAAGGCGUCCAAUUCAAAAUGUUCAGAAGAGGAAAUGUUAGAAAUGAGCCUGGAGCUCCACAGAUGUUCAAAUUCAAUACGAAUCAGUGUUCAAGAUAUCGGAUACUCUACUUGUUGUUGGUCAAAGACGUG